rnacentral:rRNA from 1 species
AUUGAACGCUGGCGGCAUGCCUUACACAUGCAAGUCGAACGGUAGAGGGGGCAACCCCUUGAGAGUGGCGAACGGGUGAGUAAUGCAUCGGAACGUGCCCAGUAGUGGGGGAUAGCCCGGCGAAAGCCGGAUUAAUACCGCAUACGACCUACGGGUGAAAGCGGGGGACCUUCGGGCCUCGCGCUAUUGGAGCGGCCGGUGUCAGAUUAGCUAGUUGGUGGGGUAAAGGCCCACCAAGGCGACGAUCUGUAGCGGGUCUGAGAGGACGACCAGCCACACUGGGACUGAGACACGGCCCAGACUCCUACGGGAGGCAGCAGUGGGGAAUUUUGGACAAUGGACGAAAGUCUGAUCCAGCCAUGCCGCGUGCGGGAAGAAGGCCUUCGGGUUGUAAACCGCUUUUGUCAGGGAAGAAAUCUUCUGGGCGAAUAACCUGGGAGGAUGACGGUACCUGAAGAAUAAGCACCGGCUAACUACGUGCCAGCAGCCGCGGUAAAAC